ensembl:lncRNA
AUGCAUAUUGUGAUUAAUAGCCUCAAGAAUGGCAGCGUGAUUGUGGACUUCAACAUUGUGUUGGAUGUAGGCGAAAGUAUAACAAAAAGAGAGAUUUCAGAUGCUUUUAUGGAGGCCUUUAACAUAAGUACAACAUUGAAAGUUGAUCUUAAAAGGACUUUUAUAGAAGCAAGGAAUAGUUGUCAGCCAGGGUUAAAUGACUGUUCCAAACAUGCCAUCUGCACUGCUGAAGGAGGAACUUAUUCCUGUCAAUGCAAGGAAGGAUUCACAGAUAACAGUCUCCAAGUUCCAGGGAGAGCUUGUCAACAGAAGCAGAAUCUACCUUCACAACAUACGACUGCAGUCCCUCGAGAAAGUGGUACAGUUGGAUUUACAGGAUCCACAGCCAAUUCCAUUUCAGCUACCACAUUUGCAUCAGGACCUUGCAUUUCUAUUGAAGUUCAGAAUGUGACUGGGGAAGCAGUACAAUUUGGCUGGACCCCAGAGGAUGGCAGGAGAGGCAGCAUCUACAUUGCUUCCCUCAUGGAUGGAAACCGGGAGAUCAAUAAAACCACUACAAAUGAGACAAAAGCUAUAUUUAACCAUCUGCUUCCUGGUCAUGUAUACACAAUAUCUGUGGCAGUAUUAUCUUGUGGUGAGACUAGCAGGACUUCAGUGAGUCUCCGAACAGAUCCUGCUUCCUGUUUUACUGGAAGUGAGUUUUGCUCACCACAAAAUCAUGGCUGUACUGACUUAAAACAUACUGUAUGCUCAAAUUACCAAGCAUUCGCCUGCAGUGUUUUGUUAAAAAGCCAGACAUUUAAUCAUACGCUUUAUAACUCUGAUAGUGAAGACUACAAGACAAUGUCUGAGAGUAUCAAAACAGAAGUUGUUAGAGAGAUGCACAUGAAAUUGAAGGAUGACCGCUUCGAUAUUGUGAUGCUUGGAUUCAGACCUGGGAGUGUGAUUGCCUAUUUUGUUUUUCUGCUGCAAAAACAAGAGCUCAUUGAUGUGAAUGUUCUGCAGGCAUACUUAAGUGAUAUAUUAAAAAGCAAGUUUGGCGACCAAACUGAAGUAACCAUACAAUCACUGUCUGCUCAGUCAUCCCCUGGAGAAAGUCCUGCCUGGAAAGUAGCAGUGAUUGUCCUCGGAGUUCUACUUGGAGUUGCAUUAGUGCUACUUUUUCUAAUAACAUUGGCCUACUUUUAUAUGAAGAAAAACUCAGGUAAAUACUUGGUUGAACCUAAUGGACUCCUGGGAAAUUUUGUCUACAAACACUUAUAAUAUAAGCCAUCAGUCUGUCUUACAUGUUUAGGGUAUGAAGAAAAAUUAGUAUAAUUCUGUUUUAAAAUUCUAUGUUAAUUGUUUUUGUUAACCUAAGAUAACCCUACACUCUCCUUCCCAACAUCCAUCACUGAAUUCCUGAAUACCUACAACUUCUAAUGAAAUAUCCUUAUAACAUUGCUCUCAGGUAUGGGGUGAGGAUUUUCCCCAUUGUACAAACAGAAAAGACGCAGAAACUUCUGUUCAGCUUAUCCACUAUAGGUGUUGCAAUGAUUUCUAUUCAUUGACUAUAAAGAAAGGCCAAAUUUUAAUUACUGGUUGCUCUCUUAAAUGCAGAUGACAGCAAUCAGAGUGACUGAGCUUAGCAUCUAUAGCAGAUGAUCUGAAUAAACAUCUGAGCCCAGAUUCA